rnacentral:rRNA from 1 species
AUACGUAGGUGACAAGCGUUAUCCGGAUUUACUGGGCGUAAAGGGCGUGUAGGCGGUCUUGCAAGUCAGAAGUGAAAUUCCUGAGCUCAACUCGGGCGCUGCUUCUGAAACUGCAGGACUUGAGUGCUGGAGGGGAUAGCGGAAUUCCUAGUGGAGCGGUAAAAUGCGCAGAUAUUAGGAAGAACACCGGUGGCGAAGGCGGCUAUCUGGACAGUAACUGACGCUGAGGCGCGAAAGCGUGGGGAGCAAACAGGAUUAGAUACCCUGGUAGUCCACGCCGUAAACGAUGAGCACUAGUUGUUGGGUCCGAACGGAUUCAGUGACGCAGUUAACGCAAUAAGUGCUCCGCCUGGGGAGUACGCUCGCAAGAGUAAAACUCAAAUGAAUUUACGGGG